AGAAAAGAUUUUUCAAAAGCAUCUGACCUUUGAGAAGAAAUCACUCCAGAAAAGCCGUUGUCACGGUGUCGGAUGAAACAGGCAUCGCGUUUGGCCGGACUGUGCUGAACCUCGGCUGCCAGCCCUGGAGCAGCGGGUUCUGCGCGCGGCUGCCACGGAGAUCCGCUCCUUUCUCUGGGCUUGGGGAAGCGUCAGCCCCAUUUUCUGGUUUCUUUCCUUUCUGAAAGAGCAGGACCAGUGACGUCCAGGAGGAGGAGGAGGAGGAGGAAGGGUCACCCGGGAAAGCCUGUGGCUGGUGAAUUGGAGCCGGUGAGCUUGAGCGGCCAGUGUGCGGCGGUGGCUCUGGCAGCGCCAUCCCCGAGGUGCGGCACACACGGACCUGCCGGCGCGGGGACGCAGAUUCAAGAGCAUCCCACCAGAGAAGCUCAGACAGCUGAAGGACGUUGGGACACGUCGAGAGAAGGAUGGAGAUCACAGAGCCCGCUGGGGUUCAGCGUCUCCCUGUGAAGCACAGGCAUCGCUCUGAGUCCAGCGGGUGAGCUGUACAACGCGCUGCACAGACAGGUCGACUAUCUGCCCGCUGUUCCUCCUCCUCUCCUCCGGCCGCCCCGGAGCCCCGGCACGGCUUUGGUUUCAGCAAUCCCCAAGCUGCACAUCAAAGGCCGCCUGCGCUUGGCCGCGCUUCCCUGCCGCUUCGGGGAUUAAUCACAGCCCAGCCUGCGUGGAAAGCGUGACCGUGUCACCCUUGUUUGUCUCGAACAGGUGCUUUUCUGGUUAUCACACAGCAAAACUAACUCGGCCGUUGGCCUUUAUGGAUGCGCCGUUUCCAGUUUCAUUUCUUUGGGUUAUCAGCCAUGAGCGGGAUGCGGGAGGAUCCGCCGUCGGCUCCAGCUGUGGGGCUGAGCCGAGCUGGGCUGAGCUGAGCUGGGCUGUGCUGAGCCAAGCUGGGCUGAGCUGAGCUGAGCUGAGCCGAGCUGGGCUGAGCUGAGCUGGGCUGUGCUGAGCCAGGCUGAGCUGAGCUGAGCUGAGCUGAGCCAAGCUGGGCUGAGCUGGGCUGUGCUGAGCCAAGCUGGGCUGAGCUGGGCUGUGCUGAGCUGAGCUGAGCGACGGGAGGGACCCAGGGAGGCCGCCCCGGUUUGCCGGGGUUGCUCCACCUUCCUCCUGUGCUGAGUGGCCUUUUCCAUCGCCACCCGCGAUGGCAGCGACAGAACGGGUGGAGGGAGCCAAGCUUCACCCAGAGCGUGCCGUUCGUUCAGGGUGUCCUGCAGGAUGGCACGUGCAGGAGUGCUCGGAGGGGCUGGCCGCAGCAUCCAGUACCCGUGGCCCCCGCAGGGCUGUGCGGGGUGAUCGUGCUCCCCAACCAAUUCCCAGCUCCCAGUUUCAGUGCCCUGCACUUCCUCUCUCCCUCGGCAAGAUAAGGAUCCUGAGCGCGGUGCACACCCUGCCGUUGCGUCCUUGUCCCAAUCGCGGGCGGCAUCGCGCUGCCUGUCCCGUGUGCCGCGGCAGGUGACGGGACUGAGGAGGCGCCGCCUUCCCAUGGGUGUGUGCGCUGGAGCAGGAGAAACCGAGAGGGACAGAGCCCAGGCAAACAGGGUGACUAAUGUGAGGAAUGCAGCGCACUGUGCGGGCGCGUGGGGCGCGUGGGGCGCGCGGGGGCCCUGCCAGCAGCUCCCGCCCGUCCCCACGUCCCCAUCCAGAUGAAGUGACACGAAGCGGUGUGCGGUUGAUCUGCAGAGCUCGCUGCCACAUGACACUAUUGCUGCCGAUGGCUCUGCUGGGCGAGCAAAGCUUUUAGAGAGCUAUUGAGACAGCAUGACUUUUAAACAGUAAGUUAUGAAAAUAUGAAGGUGCGUGGUGCAGACAGAAUCGUCAUGCUCGAGCACAUAAAUGGCAGCACAGAACACAAAGGGGCAGGCGGGAGCUCAUUCUGGGGCCAGGUGAUCCCCAAACCACUUCCCGUGGGGUUCCCGGGCAGAACCGGAGUCUCAGGCUGGAGUUGUUCUCCUGUGUGAGAUUUUCAGUGGUAACGUUGGAUUGACUCUCCGGCACAGGACAGGGACCUGUGUGCCUGUUUCUCUGCCCUCCGGGUAGAGCUGAGGAGACCAGGAAACCUGCCCCGGGUUUGUCCGCAGUGAGCGGCUGGUCCUGCCCCGUGGUGGGCGGGUGUCCGCCCCGCUGUGCGUGUCCCCUGCCGCGGUCCUGGCUGGCACCGGGGCCGUUCUGGUCCAGCUGCACACGCGCUCGGCCCUGUCGCCUUUGAUCUUCGGCUCUGUCAGACAGAUGCUCUGCAGGAAUCCUGCCCAUCAGGGCAGCCGGGGAGAGCCCUGGGUGACAGGGCAGGGAGGCUCUCGUGUCACCGCUGCGAGGGGAUGGUGCCAGGGGGAGGAACAAUAACGCCGGGCAGGUGGGUCGCUGUGGGUUGGCGCCGUGAGCCGUGUCAGCACGUGGUGGGAUGUGGGCAGGUCUCUGAGGGUGACAAGGACCUUCCAGCGGGGAUGAGGACGCCCAAAGGGCCGAGGAGGAGGAGGAGAUGGUGAACCCCGAGCCCAUGGCUGUCCCCCGCACCAGCUCUGCUGAGCCGCGUGUCCCCCGAGCCCAGGAGCUCUCGGCUCAUCCUCUGGAGUGGGAACACGGCUGCAGGGACAGGACGGGAUGGGAUGGGAUGGGACGGGAUGGACGGUCCUCCCAAAGCACAGCCGGCCCUUGGGAGGGACGUCCCAGCACCACGGUGACCCUGACGAUGCCACGUCCCCCAGGGCAGGUCCUCUGGGCCCUCCAGGCCGUGCUUGGGGACACUUGUGCCCGAGCGCUGUUGGGGAGGCAGUGAUCUCGUACACCCUGCUCCCCGGAGACUCCUCGGCGCCUCCUAAUAGGACGUUAAUUAUACAUGUACUGGCACCAUUUUUUUCUCCUUCUUGAGCUCAGCUUCCCCGGAGAUGUAAACAGCGGCCGUGCUGCGGGGAUCGUCACCUGCACCAAUGACCCCGAGUGGGGACAUGCGGGUGACGCGCUGUCCCUGCGCCCCGCCCGGGGCUUUGCCUCCGGCCCGGCAGGAGCGACGGUGGCUCCGGCUGUCCCGGAGGGGCCGCGGUGCAGGCUCGUCCCCGCGCUCCCUCCCGCAGGACCCGGCUCCUUCGUUUGGCAGAACCCACACGGAGAGUUUUGCUCAAGUCCAGCCUGGGAAUUUGGCCCCAGAGGCUUGAACAAUCCUUUCUAAUGGAACACACAGAGAACAAAAAACAACAACAACAAACAAGCAAACCAGAAACCCAAGAAACCAAAGUCAGCAAAUGAGAGCAGCGACAGCGCGCUCCCCGCGGCCGCCCGCAGCACCGGCCCGGCGCCGUCCAGUGCCGGGGACGCGGUGGAGAACGCCCGUUGCUAGAGGUGUCAAAGCUUUUCUGACUUACUGCUCCUUUCCCUCUUAAAAAUCACUGAAAUCAUUUCUUUUCAGAGCGUUGACCACAUAGAGAAAAGCAGCUUUGUGGGAUGCUGCGGUUCACUGAGCGUGAGGGACUUUGUGCCUGCGUUCGGGGCUUUGGCGGAGGGACUGCGAUUUUGCCAGACAUGGGCAAUGGCAACAGAAUCUACGUUUUUCUCUCUAAGUGUUUGUUGGAAAGCUUCUGUUCCACCAGUAACACCCCAGUGACUCCGUCCCCUUCCUCUGCUCACCUGCUCGCGGGCGUUUGCUGUGGGGCUCAGGCGUGGGUCCCAGCCCCCAGGAUGGGGGUUCACAGGGUCCCAGCCCCCAGGAUGGGGGUUCGCAGGGUCCGUGUCCCCAGGAUGGGGGUUCACAGGGUCCGUGUCCCCAGGACGGGGUUCGCAGGGUCCGUGUCCCCAGGAUGGGGUUCACAAGGUCCCAGCCCCCAGGAUGGGGUUCGCAGGGUCCGUGUCCCCAGCAUGGGGUUCGCAGGGUCUGUGUCCCCAGGAUGGGGGUUCACAAGGUCCCAGCCCCCAGGAUGGGGGUUCACAGGGUCCGUGUCCCCAGGAUGGGGGUCACAGGGUCCAUGUCCCCAGGAUGGGGUUCACAGGGUCCGUGUCCCCAGGAUGGGGGUCACAGGGUCCGUGUCCCCAGGAUGGGGGUCACAGGGGGGCCCGUGGGUCCCGUCCCGGGCGUCGUCCUUUCCCAGCUCCACGUUGUGUGUGUGCGGGGGGAGUCCCCCGAAGUCCCGCAGACAUCCUGGGCCAGACCUGGACCGUGCGGCUCACCGACCACAAACCAGCCCCCUGGGUUAUCUCGGAGCAGUCGAACCCACAGCGUCCAGGGGUUAAACGCGCAGGAAAUUCAAGUUAUCUAGAAAACAAAAUCUGCACCAACAUUGCCCAUUUUUUAACUGGAAAUAAAAUAAAUCUAUCUGUGUUUUUAAAA